CACGUAGGGUGCGAGCGUUGUCCGGAAUUAUUGGGCGUAAAGAGCUCGUAGGCGGUGUGUCGCGUCGGCCGUGAAAACCUGCAGCUUAACUGUGGGCGUGCGGUCGAUACGGGCAUCACUGGAGUUCGGCAGGGGAGACUGGAAUUCCUGGUGUAGCGGUGAAAUGCGCAGAUAUCAGGAGGAACACCAGUGGCGAAGGCGGGUCUCUGGGCCGAUACUGACGCUGAGGAGCGAAAGCGUGGGGAGCGAACAGG
rnacentral:rRNA from 1 species